rnacentral:rRNA from 1 species
AUUGAACGCUGGCGGCAUGCCUUACACAUGCAAGUCGAACGGUAACGCGGGGGCAACCCUGGCGACGAGUGGCGAACGGGUGAGUAAUACAUCGGAACAUAUCCAGUAGCGGGGGAUAACCUAUCGAAAGAUUGGCUAAUACCGCAUACGAUCUGCGGAUGAAAGCGGGGGACCGCAAGGCCUCGCACUAUUGGAGUGGCCGAUGUCAGAUUAGCUAGUUGGUGGGGUAAAAGCCUACCAAGGCGACGAUCUGUAGCUGGUCUGAGAGGACGAUCAGCCACACUGGAACUGAGACACGGUCCAGACUCCUACGGGAGGCAGCAGUGGGGAAUUUUGGACAAUGGGCGCAAGCCUGAUCCAGCCAUGCCGCGUGUGUGAAGAAGGCCUUCGGGUUGUAAAGCUCUUUCGGUGAAGACGAAACGGUUAGUGUUAAUAACACUGACUAAUGACGGUACUCACAGAAGAAGCACCGGCUAACUACGUGCCAGCCGCCGCGGUAAGAC